rnacentral:rRNA from 1 species
GUAAUGGCAGGUCAGCAUACUGCCGUGAAUACGUUCCCGGGCCUUGUACACACCGCCCGUCACACCAUGAGAGUUGGGAAUACCCGAAGCCUGUGAGCUAACUAAUAGAGGCAGCAGUCGAAGGUAGAAUCAAUGAUUGGGGUGAAGUCGUAACAAGGUAUC